GACGAACGCUGGCGGCGUGCUUAACACAUGCAAGUCGAGCGAUGAAGCACCUUCGGGUGUGGAUUAGCGGCGAACGGGUGAGGAACACGUGAGGAAUCUGCCUUCCACUCUGGGAUAACUCCGGGAAACCGGGGCUAAUACCGGAUAUUUUCAACUGGCGGCAUCGCCGGUUGAAGAAAGUUUUUCGGUGGAAGAUGACCUCGCGGCCUAUCAGCUUGUUGGUGAGGUAAAGGGUCACCAAGGCGACGACGGGUAGCCGGCCUGAGAGGGUGACCGGCCACACUGGGACUGAGACACGGCCCAGACUCCUACGGGAGGCAGCAGUGGGGAAUAUUGGGCAAUGGAGGAAACUCUGACCCAGCGACGCCGCGUGAGGGAUGAAGGCCUUCGGGUUGUAAGCCUCUUUCAGCAGGGAAUAAGCGAAAGUGGAGGUACCUGCAGAAGAAGCACCGGCUAACUAUGUGCCAGCAGCCGCAGUAA
rnacentral:rRNA from 1 species